GGAGUUAUAGCUCAGCGGGAGAGCACUUGCUUGACGUGCAAGGGGUCCUGGGUUCAAUCCCCAGUAACUCCACCA
rnacentral:tRNA from 3 species